AUGCUUUACACAUGCAAGUCGGACGGCAGCACAGAGAAGCUUGCUUCUUGGGUGGCGAGUGGCGAACGGGUGAGUAACAUAUCGGAACGUACCGAGCAGUGGGGGAUAACUAAUCGAAAGAUUAGCUAAUACCGCAUAUAUUCUGAGGAAGAAAGCAGGGGACCAUUUGGCCUUGCGCUGUUUGAGCGGCCGAUAUCUGAUUAGCUGGUUGGUGGGGUAAAGGCCUACCAAGGCGACGAUCAGUAGCGGGUCUGAGAGGAUGAUCCGCCACACUGGGACUGAGACACGGCCCAGACUCCUACGGGAGGCAGCAGUGGGGAAUUUUGGACAAUGGGCGCAAGCCUGAUCCAGCCAUGCCGCGUGUCUGAAGAAGGCCUUCGGGUUGUAAAGGACUUUUGUCAGGGAAGAAAAGGACAGGGUUAAUACCCCUGUCUGAUGACGGUACCUGAAGAAUAAGCACCGGCUAACUACGUGCCAGCAGCCGCGGUAAUACGUAGGGUGCGAGCGUUAAUCGGAAUUACUGGGCGUAAAGCGGGCGCAGACGGUUACUUAAGCAGGAUGUGAAAUCCCCGGGCUCAACCUGGGAACUGCGUUCUGAACUGGGUGACUAGAGUGUGUCAGAGGGAGGUAGAAUUCCACGUGUAGCAGUGAAAUGCGUAGAGAUGUGGAGGAAUACCGAUGGCGAAGGCAGCCUCCUGGGAUAACACUGACGUUCAUGCCCGAAAGCGUGG
rnacentral:rRNA from 1 species